GAUGAACGCUAGCGGCAGGCCUAAUACAUGCAAGUCGAGGGGCAGCAGUACUUUUCGGAGUAGCUGGCGACCGGCGCACGGGUGCGUAACGCGUAUGCAAUCUACCCACUGCACAGGGAUAGCCCGUGGAAACAUGGAUUAAUACCUGAUAAUACAGGGAGCCCACCUGGGCAUAUUGUUAAAGUUUUAACGGCAGUGGAUGAGCAUGCGUCCCAUUAGUUAGUUGGUAAGAUAACGGCUUACCAAGGCGAUGAUGGGUAGGGGUUCUGAGAGGAUGAUCCCCCACACUGGUACUGAGAUACGGACCAGACUCCUACGGGAGGCAGCAGUAGGGAAUAUUGGUCAAUGGACGCAAGUCUGAACCAGCCAUGCCGCGUGCAGGAAGACGGCCUUCUGGGUUGUAAACUGCUUUUCUCAGGGAAGAAAACGCUCUUGCGAGAGUACUUGCCGGUACCUGAGGAAUAAGCACCGGCUAACUCCGUGCCAGCAGCCGCGGUAAUACGGAGGGUGCAAGCGUUGUCCGGAUUUAUUGGGUUUAAAGGGUGCGUAGGCGGCCUAUUAAGUCAGUGGUGAAAGGUAUCAGCUUAACUGAUGACGUGCCAUUGAAACUGAUGGGCUUGAGUACAGACGAGGUAGGCGGAAUUUAUGGUGUAGCGGUGAAAUGCAUAGAUACCAUAAAGAACACCGAUAGCGAAGGCAGCUUACUAGACUGAGACUGACGCUGAGGCACGAAAGCGUGGGGAGCGAACAGGAUUAGAUACCCUGGUAGUCCACGCCGUAAACGAUGAUUACUGGAUGUGU
rnacentral:rRNA from 1 species